rnacentral:lncRNA from 12 species
AUGAUUUCGCAUACUUUGAAUCCUCAAAGGUUUUAUCCUCUAAGCAAAAAUACCUUCAAGGGAAAAAUGGGUUUGAGCCUAAAGAGAAUCUACUUGGCUACCUGUCCCCCAGCCCACAAGAUAUCUCUCUCUGCUUUGCAAGAAUCUUCCUUUUCUCUCCUGUCUCCUCCAGCCUGGCCACUGAGACCUGGAAUCCGCCUUCAGGGUCGAUUUCUGCCACCCUUUCCCCAGUGCGGUGGACAAGAUGGACUGGCCUUCAGCAUCCAUUCCCACCUCCUUCUAGGUACCUUCCUGCACUACAGACGUUGGAAAGCCAAAAAACUCAUCUCUUGGCCUCCCUUGCAGCUAGAGGUCCGGAUGCAAAGUGCAUUCAUGCGGGACUUGGAGGUUCGAUGGAGAUGAGACCACAAUCUUGCUGCUCUAUUCCUGCUGGCAGGCAAGGUCUUGGGAAGGAGGUGCACUCCGUGUUCAAUGUCUGUGGCAGGAGUAGAAGCCAGGCACUGAUCCCUGUGGGGCCACAGGGUUGCCUCCGUUAGCUUAGUUCCAGGGGUAGCCUCAUCAUUCUCCCUACCUGAUUGUGGCAGAGGCGGCAGCUCCUCCUGGAGGGUCAUUUCUGUGGCUUCAUUAUAAAGUCUGUUCUUUCAGUCCAUCUAACAAAUUUUUUUAGGAUUUUAUUUAUUUAUUUAUGAGAGAGCAAGAGAGAGUGUGAGAGAGAGAGAGAGAGAGCAUGAGCAGGGGGUGGGGGGAGGGUAGAGAGAGAAGCAGGCUCCCCACUGAGCAAGGAGCCACUUGUGGGGCUCGAUCCCAGGACACUGAGAUCAAGACCUGAGCCAAAGGUAGCCAGUUAACGACUGAGCCACCCAGGCACCCCUCCCUCUAACAAUUUGGCAAGCACCUAUUUCCCCAUUGUCUUCGUCUGCUUGGGCUGCCAUAAUCAAAUACCAUAGACCAAAUGGCUUCAACAACAGAAAUUUAUUGUCUCAGUUGUAGAGAUUAAAAUUCCAAGAUCAGGGUAGAGCAUGGUUACGGGCUACUGAGGUCUCUCCCCGCUUGCAGGUGGCUGCCUUCUCACUGUGUGUCCACAGGGCUUUCCUCUGCCGAAGGAGAAUUUAACCUUAAUUACCUCCUAAAAGCUCUGUUUCUAAAUAUGUUCACAUUGAGGGUUUGGGCCUCAACAGAUGAAGGGGGAAGAGAGCACAAUUCAGUUUGCAGCAUCUUAUUAAGAAUCCUUCUACAGGGGGGAUCCCUGGGUGGCUCAGUGGUUUGGCGCCUGCCUUCAGCCCAGGGCGUGAUCCUGGAGUCCUGGGAUCGAGUCCCGCAUCGGGCUCCCUGCGUGGAGCCUGCUUCUCCCUCUGCUUCUCAUGAAUAAAUAAAUAAAAUCUUAAAAAAAAAAAAAGAAU